rnacentral:rRNA from 1 species
UGGGGAAUAUUGCGCAAUGGGGGAAACCCUGACGCAGCGACGCCGCGUGCGGGAUGAAGGCCUUCGGGUUGUAAACCGCUUUUGAUUGGGAGCAAGCUUUCGGGUGAGUGUACCUUUCGAAUAAGCGCCGGCUAACUACGUGCAAGCAGCCGCGGUAAUACGUAGGGCGCAAGCGUUAUCCGGAAUUAUUGGGCGUAAAGAGCUUGUAGGCGGUUCGUCGCGUCUGGUGUGAAAGCCCAUCGCUUAACGGUGGGUUUGCGCCGGGUACGGGCGGGCUAGAGUGCAGUAGGGGAGACUGGAAUUCCCGGUGUAACGGUGGAAUGUGUAGAUAUCGGGAAGAACACCAAUGGCGAAGGCCGGUCUCUGGGCUGUUACUGACGCUGAGAAGCGAAAGCGUGGGGAGCGAACAGG